AGGAGAGUUUGAUCCUGGCUCAGGAUAAACGCUGGCGGCGCACAUAAGACAUGCAAGUCGAACGGAAGUCGUAAUAAUUGAAGUGGAUUGAAGAUUUAUUGGAUUGAAGCAGAUUUUACUACAAUGGCUUUAGUGGCGGACUGGUGAGUAACACGUAAGCAACCUACCUAUUAGAGGGGAAUAACAAUGAGAAAUCAUUGCUAAUACCGCAUAAGCUUGUAGGAUCGCAUGAUCCAGCAAGAAAAGGAGUAAUCCGCUAAUAGAUGGGCUUGCGGCUGAUUAGCUAGUUGGUUAGGUAACGGCUGACCAAGGCAACGAUCAGUAGCCGGGCUGAGAGGCUCUGCGGCCACAUUGGGACUGAGAUACGGCCCAGACUCCUACGGGAGGCAGCAGUCGGGAAUAUUGCGCAAUGGAGGAAACUCUGACGCAGUGACGCCGCGUAUAGGAAGAAGGUUUUAGGAUUGUAAACUAUUUUAGACAGGGAAGAAAAAUGACAGUACCUGUAGAAUAAGCUCCGGCUAACUACGUGCCAGCAGCCGCGGUAAUACGUAGGGAGCAAGCGUUAUCCGGAAUUAUUGGGUGUAAAGGGUGCGUAGACGGGAGAGCAAGUUGGCUGUGAAAUCCCUCGGCUUAACUGAGGAACUGCAACCAAAACUACUUUUCUUGAGUGCAGGAGAGGAAAGCGGAAUUCCUAGUGUAGCGGUGAAAUGCGUAGAUAUUAGGAGGAACACCAGUGGCGAAGGCGGCUUUCUGGACUGUAACUGACGUUGAGGCACGAAAGUGUGGGGAGCAAACAGGAUUAGAUACCCUGGUAGUCCAGAAUUCGGCUUAGAGUUUGAUCCUGGCUCAGGAUUAGAUACCCUGGUAGUCCCCU
rnacentral:rRNA from 1 species